GCACAAAUGAUGUGAACACAACAGUAUGAAACACAAUGAUACUGUAAACGCUUUCUGAGGUG
rnacentral:snoRNA from 1 species